CUGUUAUAUUGUUCAAGAAGGGUAUUGCUGUUGAUCGGUUAGUUGGAUUUGAAGACCUUGGAGGUAAAGAUGAUUUUUCUACCAGGGCAUUGGAAAAUAUUCUGAAGAGGAAAGAUUUUAACAGAGAAAAUGUAGGUGCAACAUUUUUUCUCUUAUUGAAUCAGCUAACACAUGGCUGGAGAUCCUAAUCUAAGUGGUCAUUGGUCUCACUUUGUUGCUAGAGGAAUUGGAUUUAGAAGUAGAAGCUUCUGGUUUUCUUCUCUGUCACUCACGUAAUGAUGUGAUGAGGUGCAAAUGUUUAGCAGUGGUCAGUUAAUGUUAUUUCAAUGCCCACAAUCAAUCUUUCCAAAUCAGGGGAAAAAAUGAACUGGAGUCAGACUUCAGAAGGUUCUGGGAAGAAUUCCGCUCUUCCAGCUCUGAAAAGGUCAUCAGUUUAUACAGAGAAGACCCGGAGCAUAGAGAAAGAGAGACAGACAGUUGGAGAGUACCAUGGCUGUUCAAUUCUUCUCGUAGUUUAGGAGGGCGCCACUGAUGCCAUUGACAACAUCAUGUGCAAACUGAAUAUGGAGAGCAACGCAGCCUCCCGCCUUGACAGUGUUUGCCGACUACAACUUAGAUGAAUCAUCCUCCACUAAUGGGCUGGGGGCGUCAAAUCCAAGUGUUCUAUCAUUACUUGUUUAAUUCUGUCUAUGGGUCAUUGCUCUGAGAGAUCACAGGAACAUUGAGCUUAAACUUGUGCUUUCGGGACAAAGGAUUGCUGAAUUCGAUGCUAAACUUGUGCAUGAUGAUGGGAUGACGUAAAGGCAUUUUAUGAGGUGGACUGAACUACUUUGAGAUAUAUUGAUAACACUUCACACACAAAAUGAAAGGAAUGGCAGGCAGAUUUAAAUAAAACAAUGUUUGAUGCUGAAUUGACUAAUGAACAGCUAUUGAAAAAACGUGAUGACAGAAUUUGUGAAGCUGAUUGGAAGGACCUUAUUAAAUAUUGGAGAUCUCCUCAAUUUGAAGUAAGUCAGGCUGCCUACUAAUGUUAUGUUAUAUUCCAGCCUAGUAAUUACCAUUGGCUCACACUGUUUAUGUACAUGAUGAUCUCAGACCAUUUUAGUACUUGUUUAAUCUAUGGCGUAUAAGGCUCCUGGUUGCAUUUAGUUUCAGUGUCAUUGCUUUAGCUAUGUACAAUAAAAAAGUGUGUUUCUAGUUUUCUGUUUGAUGCUCAGCUGAUCCUGUUUUCAACCGUGUCCAUCAUAACAACCACCAUUUGUUUUGUUUACAAAGCCAGUAUUAGACCAUAAGGCACCAUAUAGUAGAAUCAUGUCAGAAUUUACUGUUGUAAAUUGUCCCUCCUCCAAGGAUUACUCAUCGAUGUAUAUAAGCAUUUUUAGUUUUAGUAUGUGAUGCUUGACUGCUUGUAUAUGUACAUAAGCCUAUUUCCUGAAAUAAUUAUUUUAUGGUGCAAAUAUAUGUCUGGUAAAAGGUGCUUAGAGUUAAACUGGUGGAUUGAGUAAGCUGCUACUUUUGAUUCUUGGUAAACUGGUGGUGCUAUUUAUGCUAUACAAUCAAUCUGGACAAUUUUUUGUAGUUGGUACUGCAGGUUGUCUCUAUGUUUCAUUCGUCUUUGCAUAUCUUUUGCGGAGUAGCAGUAUAUGCAGAACCUAAUAUGAUCCUAGCUAAUUUGGAACCUAUUAUUCUUCUUCUUUUAUCUUAUUUUGCUUCAUUUUAAGAAUAUAUUUACUGUCAACAGUGAAACACACAUCAACCAAACAGCUUCUGUUAUUUUAAGAAUAUUUUAAGAAUAUAUUUACUGUCAACAGUGAAACACACAUCAAACAAACAGCUUCUGUUAUUUUAAGAAUAUAUUCUAGGCCGAGUGGGGUGUUUAAUAUCUAUGAAGAAAGCAUAUGCUUUUGAAACAAACAAACAAACAAACAAACACAUUCCCCGGUUAGCUCCGGAAGUCAUGUUCAUCUCUAUCAGUUGCAUUAGCAACAAAUUUAUUGAAGUUCUGGCAUUCGUGACAAAAGUCCUCUCAGUUUCAAAUAGUUCACCCAACAUGGUGGUGCGGAAUUCUAAAAACGAGAACAACCUGGACUAUUGCCUGCACAAAUGACAUGCGAUUCGUAUUAGUACAUAUUCAAGAUAGGACUAUAUAUUUGACAAAUAGUACAAGUGCGAGGUAUCUCACCUAAGAUGGAAUACUUACAUUUUCGUCGACGAGGAUAGCAUGGUAGAUUAGAUCACCUCCUCUAUUGUUUUUUAUUCGACCAGAAAUAAGUUUCGCAGUUGCCUCCCAGGAUCUGUUGUAGAUAUGCAAUUGUUCCACAUUGCAGAAUGUAACAUGACUGCAUUAUAAACGGAGAAACAUGAGUAAAACGUGAUGCUAAGAACAUGAGUAAAACGUGAUGCUGGAACUUACCUUGGUGCCAUUACCCUCUUGGAGGCGUGGCGACUGAGCAGGUAUUGACUGAGCAUGGCGACUGAAGAUGGAUGAACUCGACUGAGAUGAAGAUGACCUUAGCCUGGAGCUAUGGCACACGAUUACUGGGAAGGAUUCAUGCGUGAUUACUGGGAAGGAUUACAUACCAUGCGUCAUGGGUGUUUCCUGAUUCAUACCAUGCGUCAUGGGUGUUUCCUGAUUCAUGGGUCGUUCUUGGUUUAUUUCCAUGCGAGAUUUCCUAAUUCAUCGGUCGUUCUUGAUUUAUUUCCUGUUUAGAUUCCAUUCAUGCGUGAUUUAUAUUUCCUGGCGAGAUUUCCUGGCGAGAUUUUCCUGCCGAGAUUACAUACCUGGCGAGAUUGCAUACCUGGCGUGAUUUAUAUUUCCUGGCGAGAUUUUCCUGCCGAGAUUACAUACCUGGCGAGAUUGCAUACCUAGCGUGAUUUAUAUUUCCUGGCGAGAUUACAUUCGGCCCAUGUUAACGCUUGGCCCAGGCGGGUGGGCAACGAAGGACGACGACGACCAAG